CCUACGGGAGGCAGCAGUGGGGAAUAUUGCACAAUGGGGGAAACCCUGAUGCAGCAAAGCCGCGUGAGUGAAGAAGUAUUUCGGUAUGUAAAGCUCUAUUAGCAAGGAAGAGAAUGACGGUACCUGACUACGAAGCCCUGGCCAACUACGUGCCAGCAGCCGCGGGAACACGUAGGGGGCAAGCGUUAUACGGAUUUACUGGGUGUAAAGGGAGCGUAGACGGCUGUACAAGUCUGAAGUGAAAGCCCGGGGCUCAACCGCGGAACUGCUUUGGAAACUGUAAAGCGGGAGUACUGGAGAGGCAGGCGGAAUUCCUAGUGUAGCGGUGAAAUGCGUAGAUAUUAGGAGGAACACCAGUGGCGAAGGCAGCCUGCUGGACAGAAACUGACGUUGAGGCUCGAAAGCGUGGGGAGCGAACAGGAUUAGAUACCCCAGUAGUC
rnacentral:rRNA from 1 species